AGCGAACGCUGGCGGCAGGCCUAACACAUGCAAGUCGAACGAAGUCUUCGGACUUAGUGGCGGACGGGUGAGUAACACGUGGGAACGUGCCUUUAGGUUCGGAAUAACUCAGGGAAACUUGUGCUAAUACCGAAUGUGCCCUUCGGGGGAAAGAUUUAUCGCCUUUAGAGCGGCCCGCGUCUGAUUAGCUAGUUGGUGAGGUAAAGGCUCACCAAGGCUACGAUCAGUAGCUGGUCUGAGAGGAUGACCAGCCACAUUGGGACUGAGACACGGCCCAAACUCCUACGGGAGGCAGCAGUGGGGAAUCUUGCGCAAUGGGCGAAAGCCUGACGCAGCCAUGCCGCGUGGAUGAUGAAGGUCUUAGGAUUGUAAAAUUCUUUCACCGGGGACGAUAAUGACGGUACCCGGAGAAGAAGCCCCGGCUAACUUCGUGCCAGCAGCCGCCGUAAGAC
rnacentral:rRNA from 1 species